rnacentral:misc_RNA from 1 species
GCAAACUUGGUCAUUUAGAGGAAGUAAAAGUCGUAACAAGGUUUCCGUAGGUGAACCUGCGGAAGGAUCAUUAAAAUUCACGGUUUCGAACAGAAAUAUUCAAUACCACAAACCCCACCUGUGUUCCUCAGUCGUUGCUUCCGCCAGGCAGUGCAUCGUUCCCCCCACACCCCCUCCCCUCCACCUGCCGGUGUUGGGGUGGUGGUGGCGGGAGGAGAGGUGUCACCUUCGGACGAGUGGUCGAAUCGCCCUCGCACGGAGAGCCCUCGCGAGAGGACAUACAUCAAACCCUUGCAUUUUUCAUGUCGUCUGAAUCAAUUUUAAUCCGAAACAUUAAAACUUUCAACAACGGAUCUCUUGGUUCUCGCAUCGAUGAAGAACGCAGC